AACGCACCUUGCGCUCCUUGGUAUUCCUUGGAGCAUGCCUGUUUGAGUAUCAUGAAAUUAUCAAAGCAAGUCUUUUGUUCAUUCGAUCGACUUUGUUUUGGACUUGGAGGUCUGCAGAUUCACGUCUGCUCCUCUUAAAUGCAUUAGCUGGAUCUCAGUGAGCUCGGUUCCACUCGGCGUGAUAAGUAUCACUCGCUGAGGACACCCAUAAAAAAGGUGGCCGGGAUCGCGGAUGAACCGCUUCCAAUAGUCCAUUUGCUUGGACAAUACACUUUAUGAUCUGAUCUCAAAUCAGGUAGGACUACCCGCUGAACUUAA
rnacentral:misc_RNA from 1 species